rnacentral:pre_miRNA from 1 species
UAUCUACUCCCUCCGUUCGGAAUUACUUGUCGCAGAAAUGGAUGUAUCUAGACGUAUUUUAGUUCUAGAUACAUCCAUUUCCGAGACAAGUAAUUCCGAACGGAGGGAGUAUGUG